GACGAACGCUGGCGGCGUGCUUAACACAUGCAAGUCGAACGGGAUCCGGGCUUUCGGGUUUGGUGAGAGUGGCGAACGGGUGAGUAACACGUGAGUAACCUGCCCCCUUCUUUGGGAUAACGUUGGGAAAUCGGCGCUAAUACUGGAUAUUCUUGCUGCAUCGCAUGGUGUGGUUUGGAAAGGGUUUCUGGUGGGGGAUGGGCUCGCGGCCUAUCAGCUUGUUGGUGGGGUGAUGGCCUACCAAGGCUUUGACGGGUAGCCGGCCUGAGAGGGUGUCCGGCCACACUGGGACUGAGACACGGCCCAGACUCCUACGGGAGGCAGCAGUGGGGAAUAUUGCACAAUGGGCGCAAGCCUGAUGCAGCGACGCCGCGUGAGGGAUGACGGCCUUCGGGUUGUAAACCUCUUUCAGUAUGGAACAAGGAUCCUUCUUUUGGGGGGUUUGAGGGUACGUGCAGAAGAAGCGCCGGCUAACUACGUG
rnacentral:rRNA from 1 species